CGAUACUUGGUAUCACUGUCUCUGCCCUGCAAUCAAGUUGAAACCCUAAAUGCAAAACACAAGCCCCCAGAAGCUCUACUGCAACCCUCUUCAAGUGGCUGGAGGCUGCAGCGUAGAGUAGCUUUCCUCGGGCGGAUUUUUCCUUGGAUUUCCAAGGGACUUUUUGUGUUUGGCAACCAGACAGUAUCAGCUGCCUUGUGUGCUAUCCAUCAGCAAGUAUGGAUGGAAUUUCUUGUUUCUCUUUUUUUAUUGCUCUUGUACACUGAUCUAAUCCUUUCAACGACUUUUUCCGCAAUAAACUUUUAAUACUUUUCCUCAUUGUUUCAUAGUUGAUAGUACUAUUUAACUUCCACUCCCUACUGUAGUUCCCUGCUUUCGCAUUAAAUUAGUUUACAAUUGUUUACCCUGGCCUGAUUUUGACGGCUGCUGGAUGAAUUACCUGAAUGAUCAAAAUCUUCCUGAAGCUCAGGGCAUUGUUUUCUUUGUUUGCUUUUCUCCAAACUUAGUAUCAGCAGACUUGAAGAAUUUGUAACCAAUUACUGGAUUUAUAAAUUUAGAUCAUGUUUUAUUUAGGAUUUUUUUUUUUAAGGAAAAGUUACUGAACAGUGCUUAAAAUUGAUGCUAUAACAUUGUUAACAGUUGAUUGAUCUACAUUUGCACUAUGCUACCACUGAGCUAAUUAACUAGAGAUUAAAUAAUGUGACAACUUGCUUUAGUUGAGUUGUUUAGUUUCAGGCUUCAUGAAUUCCAGUAAAACUCUAGAAGAGGACUGCUCCCAGCCACCCGGGAGCUGUACUUUAGGAGCCCUGCUUGGCACAUUAGGUGUAGGGAGAAGAUCAAGUCCAGUUGUUUCUGAGCAAGACUUCACCUUGCAAUGGUG
rnacentral:lncRNA from 1 species